CUCAACACUUGAAGCAUUUUCUCUAGUUGAGCCUCUUCAAAUUUUUGACUGAACUCAUCAUUCACAGAGGCUCACAUUGGGAGCAAGCUUUUUAAGUGUUGGAUCUGUUAUCACAUAAAGGAUCCUCUUGUGCUCCAAGACUAUCUUUAAUUUUUGAUACCAAUUAUCGAAAUUCGAUCCAAUAAGCUUCUCAUUGUCGCACAG
rnacentral:lncRNA from 1 species